rnacentral:rRNA from 1 species
AUGGCCUAUGCUAGCUUUUUCUUACCCUGUUCCAGUCUGCUGGAAGUGUCUCUGCUGCCUCCCCAAGAUGCUGGAAGGUCACCUCCAUCGAUGCUCUCUCCGCCGCUUCCGCAAGCCGCCAGACUGUACAGUUCUGCAAGGAAAAAGAAUGGAAAAGGAAUAGAAGAAGACAAUGCUGAAGCACAAGAGCAAGAGAGGCUAGCUAUACUUAAAGCAAGGAAUAGUGAUGAUUUUGAACGAUUUGGGUCCUUUACAUUCUCAAAUCUAAAAGAAGAUUUUGGAGGACGAGCCAGUCAGCGACAAAAUAAAAGAAAGAAGGUGAUCUCUUUGGUUACUGCAUCUAUUGUACAAUUGCAUUGCAUCUAUCAUAAAACUUCAUCUUGUUACAUGCUUUGCACAUCUCACUUUGUCAUGCACAUUAAUUCAUGCUUUGCAGAGUUCACUUUGUCAUGCAUAUUAAUUCAUGCCUUUUGCAGUUCACUUUGUCAUGCACAUAUUAGGUGCAUGUUGAUGUUAAGUUUGCACAUCAUCUUGUUGCUUAUUUGUAGAGCAAUGUAG